GACGAACGCUGGCGGCGUGCUUAACACAUGCAAGUCGAACGAACAGGCCCUGCUUUUGUUGCUUUCUCGAUUGCCGAACGCGUGUGUAACACGUGUGUAUCCUCCACUUAUCUUUGUGAUAACUUCACGAAACUCGGGCUCUUACCGCAUAUGAUCUCUUGCUGCGUGUUGGUGGUUGGUAAGUUUCGGCUGUUGUGGAUGGACUCGCGGCUUCUCAGCUUGUUUGUGUAGUAGUGGCUUACCAAGGCUUUGACGGGUGGCCGGCCUGAGAGGGUUACCGGGGACAUGGGGACUGAGAGACGGAGCAGAAGGCUACGGGAGGCAGCAGGGGGGAAUAUUGCACAAUGGGGGGAAGCGUGAUGCAGAAACGCCGCGUGCGGGAUGAUGGCCUUCGGGGGGUAAACAGAUGUCGAAGGUGACGAAGAGGGAGUGACGGUAAUGGGUAAAGAAGCAACGGCUAACUACGUG
rnacentral:rRNA from 1 species